rnacentral:rRNA from 1 species
GUAACAUUGGUGCUUGCACCAGAUGACGAGUGGCGCACGGGUGCGUAACGCGUAUGCAACCUACCUUUUACUAGAGUAUAGCCCAGAGAAAUUUGGAUUAAUCCUCUAUAACAUCUUUUAAUUUCAUGAUUUUAAGAUUAAAGUUUUAACGGUAAAAGAUGGGCAUGCGUCCUAUUAGUUUGUAGGUGAGGUAACGGCUCACCUAGACUACGAUAGGUAGGGGCCCUGAGAGGGGGAUCCCCCACACUGGUACUGAGACACGGACCAGACUCCUACGGGAGGCAGCAGUAAGGAAUAUUGGACAAUGGACGAAAGUCUGAUCCAGCCAUGCCGCGUGCAGGAUGACAGCCCUACGGGUUGUAAACUGCUUUUAUACAGGAAGAAACACUCCGACGUGUCGGAGCUUGACGGUACUGUAAGAAUAAGGAUCGGCUAACCCCGUGCCAGCAGCCGCGGUAAUACGGAGGAUCCAAGCGUUAUCCGGAAUCAUUGGGUUUAAAGGGUCCGCAGGCUGUUUUUUAAGUCAGAGGUGAAAUCCUACAGCUCAACUGUAGAACUGCCUUUGAUACUGGAAAACUUGAGUUAUUGUGAAGUGGUUAGAAUGUGUGGUGUAGCGGUGAAAUGCAUAGAUAUCACACAGAAUACCGAUUGCGAAGGCAGAUCACUAACAAUAUACUGACGCUCAUGGACGAAAGCGUGGGGAGCGGACAGGAUUAGAUACUCUGGUAGUCCACGCCGUAAACGAUGGAUACUAGCUGUUCGUCUAACAUUGGUUAGAUGAGUGGCUAAGCGAAAGUGAUAAGUAUCCCACCUGGG